CAGACAAUGUAGCCGGAGGGUUAGGUGGCAGUGAUUGGCAAUCUCCACCUGGAGUCUCAGCUCCAAGAUAAGCCCUAAGGUUCCCUCUGGAACAUCAGUCUGUACUUUUCUAUAUUUAGAGGAAGUCUCAAGUGUAGGACGAUUGCUGCAGUCUGGAGUCUUCACUGGUACAGCAAGAUGAUGGAUUGUUUUUCAGUACUUGUUUCCUCCUAUGUAAUGAUUAUUUUUUUCUUUGUAGCUUCACAUUACUGGUUUGCUGCGUUGCUGUUCCCCAGACCAAGCAGAAGCAUCUGUAACGUCUGAAGGAAGAACCCAGGCCCGCAGCUCACCCACUACAGAACCUAGGGACCUUAUCCUUCUUCCAGUGGGGUGUUAAAGUCUCCCAUUAUUGCCCAGCCACCCAUCGUCUGGGAUGUGAGGAGCGCCUCUGCCUGGCCGCCCCGUCUGGGAAGUGAGGAGCACCUCUGCCCGGCUGCCCUGUCUGGGAAGUGAGGAGCGCCUCUGCCCGGCAGCCCCGUCUGGGAGGUGAGGAGCGCCUCUGCCCGGCCGCCCAUCGUCUGGGAUGUGAGGAGCGCCUCUGCCCGGCCGCCCCAUCUGGGAAGUGAGGAGCGCCUCUGCCUGGCCGCCCCGUCUGGGAAGUGAGGAGCGCCUCUGCCUGGCCACUGUGCAACCUUCCAAGUGUGAAGUGACAGCCUUUCUGCAGGUGUACCUAACAGCUCCAAAGAGACAGCGACCAUCGAGAACGGGCCAUGAUGACGAUGGCGGUUUUGUCAAAAAGAAAAGGGGGAAAUGUGGGGAAAAGAAAGAGAGAUCAGAUUGUUACUGUGUCUGUGUAGAAAGAAGUAGACAUAGGAUACUCCAUUUUGUUCUGUACUAAGAAAUAUUCUUCUGCCUUGGGAUGCUGUUAAUCUAUAACCUUACCCCCAACCCUGUGCUCUCUGAAAGAUGUGCUUUGUCAACUCAGGGUUAAAUGGAUUAAGGGGGGUGCAAGAUGUGCUUUGUUAAACAGAUGCUUGAAGGCGGCAUGCUCUUUAAGAGUCAUCACCACUCCCUAAUCUCAGGUACCCAGGGACACAAAGACUGCAGAAGGCCGCAGGGACCUCUGCCUAUGAAAGCCA
rnacentral:lncRNA from 10 species